rnacentral:lncRNA from 1 species
UUUCAAAUUUUUGCAUUGGCAUCUUUGGAUUUCAGUCUUGAUGUUUGUUCUGUCAGACUUACCUUUUAUUUCCUGUCCUUCCUUGAAAUUGCUGCUUGUUCUGCUCCCUCUACAGAUAUUUAUAUCAAUUCCUACAGCUUUCCCCUGCCAUCCCGGAACUCUUUCUAGCCCUUUUAGAUUUUGGCACUGUGAAACCCCUGCUGGAAACCUGAGUGACCCUCCCUCCCCACCAAGAGUCCACAGACCUUUCAUCUUCCAUGAACUUUAUGCUGUUAGCAGGUGGUAAUACCAUGGGUGCCGUGACACCAACAGUCAUUGCUUUAUCCUGUCUUUGGGGGAAAUGUGUCAAAAGUCCCCUCAGGAAUUUUCAGAGGAAGAAACAUUUUAUGAGGCUUUCUCUAAAGUUUCCUUUGUAUAUGAGUGUGCUCACUUAAAUUUACAGAAAGAGGUGAGCUGUGUUAAACCUCAGAGUUUAAAAGCUACUGAUAAACUGAAGAAAGUGUCUGUAUUGGAACUAGGGUCAUUUGAAAGCUUCAAUCUUGGAACAUGACCUUUAGUCUGUGGACUCCAUUUAAAAAUAGGUAUGAAUAAGAUGACUAAGAAUGUAAUGGGGAAGAAUUGCCCUGCCUGCCCAUCUCAGAGCCAUAAGGUCAUCUUUGCUAGAGCUAUUUUUACCUAUGUAUUUAUCGUUCUUGAUCGUAAGCCACUUAUUUAUAUCAUGUAUCUCUAAGGACCUAAAAGCACUUUAUGUAGUUUUUAAUUAAUCUUAAGAUCUGGUUAUGGUAACUAAAAAAGCCUGUCUCCCAAAUCCAGUGGAAACAAGUGCAUAGAUGUGAAUUGGUUUUUAGGGGCCCCACUUCCCAAUUCAUUAGGUAUGACUGUGGAAGUACAGACAAGGAUCUUAGUUGAUAUUUUGGGCUUGGGGCAGUGAGGGCUUAGGUCACCCCAAGUGGUUUGGGAAAGGAGGAGGGGAGUGGUGGGUUUAUAGGGAGAGGAGGAGGCAGGUGGUCUAAGUGCUGACUGGCUACAUAGUUCGGGCAAAUCCUCCAAAAGGGAAAGGGAGGAGUUGCUUAGAAGGAUGGCGCUCUCAGUGACUACUUUUUGACUUCUGUUUGUCUUACGCUUCUCUCAGGGAAAAACAUGCAGUCCUCUAGUGUUCAUGUACGUUCUGUGGGGGGUGAACACCUUGGUUCUGGUUAAACAGCUGUACUUUUGAUAGCUGUGCCAGGAAGGGUUAGGACCAACUACAAAUUAAUGUUGGUUGUCAAAUGUAGUGUGUUUCCCUAACUUCCUGUUUUUCCUGAGAAAAAAAAAUAAAUCUUUUAUUCAAAUA